rnacentral:rRNA from 1 species
UUGUCCUACGGGGGGCAGCAGUAGGGAAUCUUCCACAAUGGGCGAAAGCCUGAUGGAGCAACGCCGCGUGGGUGAAGAAGGUCUUCGGAUCGUAAAACCCUGUUGUUAGAGAAGAAAGUGCGUGAGAGUAACUGUUCACGUUUCGACGGUAUCUAACCAGAAAGCCACGGCUAACUACGUGCCAGCAGCCGCGGUAAUACAUAGGGAGCAAGCGUUAUCCGGAUUUAUUGGGUGUAAAGGGUGCGUAGACGGGAAAGCAAGUUAGUUGUGAAAUCGCUCGGCUUAACUGAGGAACUGCAACUAAA